CCUUCGAGCUUCUACGCUCUUCUUCCUCUCACUCGCGAAUGAACGGCGCGGCGGUGAUCGGAAAGCUCCCUCACCUCCGAGCAAGAUCUUCAAUCGCAAUCGGAGAAACGGUGUUUUCGCUCAGCUCACUUCUCAACUCUCGUUCCAAACCUCUCCGUCUCUCUCGCGGGUUCUCUCACUCUUCGCUCCGCCCUCGCCUCUCUCCGAUUCAAUCCUUUGCUCUGUUCUUGAGGAUUCUUGUUGUAUCAAAGGUUAUGGCAGUGAAACAAAUUGUUAUGUGAAGCGAAGAUUGAUACGAUGCGUAUUAUUGUUGAGGACGUAUGAAGAUGCAUCGGAGAUUGACGCAGAACGUUGAACUGUCGCGUGGGAAUUCUACAGUGAAGAUGAAGAUUCGUUCUGGUGAUGAUUCUUGUGACGUUGAUGAUUUUCUGAGGAGAUUCUGAAAGAACUCGAGAGAGUGAAGAAUCACGAUAAAGUUUGUUACAUUAUGAGAGUUGAUGAAGAUGAUGAUUUGUAGCGAAGAUUGAAGGGUACGAUGGUGAAGAUGAUUGAAGAAGAGAGAGAGUGAGAAUGGUGCGUCUUGAUUGUGGGCGUGUGAAGGAAGAGAAUGGCGUGUGGAAGAGGUGAAGGAUAACGAUGAGUGAGAGCCUGAAAAUGUGAGAAGAGGCUCUGCUAUAUAGAGUUUGAAAAAAGGUUUCAGGUUAGUUCUCACUCUCUUCUGCUUUUUUCUGUUACAGUCUGUUAGUGAUGGUUGGAAAGUUGUUAUGAAAACCUGUUGGAGUUAGUUACAGUUGGGGAUUCUGUUAUGGUUAGUUGGAGUGAGUUUGGACAGUUAGUUAUGAUUAGAAUUUAGGAUAUUUGCUGAGCUGGAUUUGAUAGGUUGGUUAAGUGAAUGUAUGUAAUGAAGUUGUGUGGGGAACUGGGACUGAAUAUACGACUGCAGUGUAGGUUUAUUCUGGGUUUGUGAUAGGAUGCUCGACUGUAUUUAAUGUGUAUGCAUGGUUCAAUUUGCAACAACCGGUUUGUGUGGUGUGGAUAUUACAAGUCUGAGUCGGUUCAGCUGCUCUGGUUUUAUGCAGGUUCUGUUAAAUUGGUUUGGACACGAGGACAUGAAUGGAAACAAUGGUUAUGGGCAGAAAUCAUGGACGAUGAUGAAGAUUAGGUUGAGAGUUUAGGGAAUAGUGUUGAGUCUAGGCCCAAGUCAGGGUCUCUGGUCAACAAUUGACCAGAAUGUCAACUGUUACCUUUUGUGUAAUUCUCAAUGAUUCCAAUUCUGAAUUUUUGUAAUGAUUUCUUUUCCUUGUAAGAUUCUUUUUUGUUAUAAACUUUGGGGGUUAUGUCUUGUUUUACAAAAUGGAUGUUCUUCAUGUAAUGAUACAGUGAGUGAUGUAAUGUGAUGAAUGCUACUGUUGGUCCCCGUUUUUUCUUUAAUAAUUCAGUUUGUUGUAUGGUUUUCUUUGUAACGGUAUGGAUGUAUCAAAUAUGUAUUAAACACGGGAAUGGGGUAAUGGAUGGAUGUUGUAAUGAAGUUCCUUUCUCUCUAAUGAAUGUAACUCUUAUUCUCUUC